AUUGAACGCUGGCGGCAGGCCUAACACAUGCAAGUCGAACGAGUGGCGGACGGGUGAGUAAUGUCUGGGAAACUGCCUGAUGGAGGGGGAUAACUACUGGAAACGGUAGCUAAUACCGCAUACUAUCAGAUGUGCCCAGAUGGGGUGGGCUAGUUGGUGGGGUAACGGCUCACCACGGCGACGAUCCCUAGCUGGUAUGAGAGGGGGACCAGCCACACUGGGACUGAGACACGGUACAGAGUUCGACGGGAGGCAGUCGUGGGGAAUAUUGCGGAAUGGGCGCAAGCCUGAUGCCGCCAUGCCGCGUGUAUGAAGAAGGCCUUCGGGUUGUAAAGUACUUUCAGCGGGGAGGCGUUACCCGCAGAAGAAGCCCCGGCUAACUCCGUGCCAGCCGCCGCGGUAAUAC
rnacentral:rRNA from 1 species